rnacentral:lncRNA from 1 species
AGAACUUUCAGCUGGUCUUAUAGCAGCACAGGCUGUUUCAGCACUGCAAAUCACAGAGGACGCAGAUGUAGUAGACACCAUCGUGCUUGACAGAAUGUUGAGAGGCUAGCCUAGCAUUUUGUUGUUAUAUUUGCCACUUUCCAUGUUGCUUGCUGUCUUUUUAUCUUUUAUUCAUAAAUCUGAAUAAUGGAUCUGUAUAUAUAUGUCAUGACUUUGUCACGCAUCUGGUGCUUGUUGCUUCUUUAUAUAUUAAACUUUGUUGCACCAUACUGUCAAAUGGUCUGUUUCUUGGUACUGUUCUAAUUUCCCCCCUUUCAUUUUGCC